AGUGGCCAUUCCGAUGGGCAGGAAUGGGCGUUCUGUAAAACCGUCGGCUCAGCCUACGCAAGUUCGAACCUUGCACCUGCCACUACCA
rnacentral:tRNA from 1 species